UAGGGAAUCUUCGGCAAUGGGGGGAACCCUGACCGAGCAACGCCGCGUGAGUGAAGAAGGUUUUCGGAUCGUAAAGCUCUGUUGUUAAGGAAGAACGAGUGUGAGAAUGGAAAGUUCAUGCUGUGACGGUACUUAACCAGAAAGCCACGGCUAACUACGUGCCAGCAGCCGCGGUAAUACGUAGGUGGCAAGCGUUGUCCGGAUUUAUUGGGCGUAAAGCGAGCGCAGGCGGUCAAUUAAGUCUGAUGUGAAAGCCCCCGGCUCAACCGGGGAGGGUCAAUGGACACUGGUUGACAUGAGUGCAGAAGAGGGGAGUGGAAUUCCAUGUGUAGCGGUAAAAUGCGUAGAUAUAUGGAGGAACACCAGUGGCGAAGGCGACUCUCUGGUCUGUAACUGACGCUGAGGCUCGAAAGCGUGGGUAGCAAACAGG
rnacentral:rRNA from 1 species